GACCUGAUAGCACAAGUGGUAGUGUUUCUGCUUUGUUUCGUCGCUGCUGAAGCAGAAGAUCCUCGUUCGAUUCGAGGUCAGGUUA